AUUUCAACAGUUUCUUCUGCAGUCGGCUGCUUCUCCACUCCAAUCGCCACGGUUAGUCGGUUACGUCUGCAAGACUGCAACUCAAGGCCCUGCAACCACUCCUAAAACCUAUUGAUGAUGGGCAAUGGCAGCAUCCUGUGGCGGUCUUGGGUUUGGGUCUUCUUCUAUUAUUGGACUCGUUGGUACUUGGUACUAUUUGGUAAGUCAUCUAUGAUUUAUCUUCCCCAAAUUCCAACCGACCGACGGCAAUAAUCAAGGCAUGAAUCCGAUUCUGAUGCUG
rnacentral:lncRNA from 1 species